rfam:Myotis brandtii contig153547, whole genome shotgun sequence.
GGUGGUUCUUGGGUGACAUACCCCAGAAUUGGGCUCUCUCCUCUCUUGUUCCAGGUGUGUCACCUGAGAACUGCA